GACCACCCCCAGAAUGCCCCGGGGCCCCUGCCACUGAUCACUCCCAGAAUGCCCCGGGACCCCUGCCACUGACCACCCCCAGAAUGCCCCGGGGCCCCUGCCACUGACCACCCCCAGAAUGCCCGGGGCCCCUGCCACUGACCACCCCCAGAAUGCCCCGGGGCCCCUGCCACUGACCACCCCCAGAAUGCCCCGGGGCCCCCGUCACUGAGGGGACCACCCCCAGAAUGCCCCGGGGCCCCUGCCACUGACGGGACCACCCCCAGAAUGCCCCGGGGCCCCUGUCACUGAGGGGACCACCCCCAGAAUGCCCCGGGGCCCCUGCCACUGACCACCCCCAGAAUGCCCCGGGGCCCCUGCCACUGACCACUCCCAGAAUGCCCCGGGGCCCCUGCCACUGACCACCCCCAGAAUGCCCGGGACCCCUGCCACUGGGGGGACCAUUCCCAGAAUGCCCCGGGGCCCCUGCCACUGACCACCCCCAGAAUGCCCGGGACCCCUGCCACUGGGGGGACCAUUCCCAGAAUGCCCUGGAUAGAUGAGGACCCUCAGAAUGCAGGGGCCCCCUAGAAUGCACUGGUUCUUUGGCAAGAGGUGAUGAUUACGAUUAAUGAUGGGGGGGGGGCUGAAAGCCAUUCCCCCAGAAAGCUCUGUGGCUGCUGCCUGGCCCUUCCCAGGGCUACUAGCAGAGGGCUCUGUAAGGAAGGAUUGGCCACUACCAGAUCUGCUUCUUGGCUCAGGCCCGGUUAUUCAUGACACAUAACCAGGGGUUUUAUUCCAUCUAGUGUUGGGGGUCUCAGCUGCCUAGAUUUGGGGAGCAGCCAGUGUAUUAAAGGCAAUUAAUCAGAAAGAAAAAGCUAUUUUUAAAAUUUUUCUUCCUCUUUUUGGUGAUUCCCAAGUAGCUCCCCCAGGCAAUUCUGCUCCGACACUGGAAAAGUGGGGACCGAGACCUGAAAUAGGGGUGAAAGGGUUUUCCCUUGGAAAGCUUCAGAUGAAUUCUGCUAUAACUGAACCAGGAGCAACACAUUCUAGAAUGGCUUCUGCUUUACUCUUGUUGGCAUUCUUAGGGGUAUACUCAGGACAAAGAGAAAGAACGCACACCAGCACAACAGUGAACUUAGAACUCAUGACAGUCAGAGCAGUAUAC